rnacentral:tRNA from 1 species
GGCUCAGUGGUCUAGGGGUAUGAUUCUCGCUUUGGGUGCGAGAGGUCCAGUGUUCAAAUCCGGGCUGAGCCC